GUGGUGGAGCGGCCACCUAGCGGCCACCAGCCCAGUCUCUGGCGUGAGCGGCCGCGGAGCAACACUGUAUAACCCGGCGGCAAAUAUAUCCAUUAUGCCCUCCUCGUCGCCUAGUGCUUCGUCUGCCGGUACCCAGGUGGAGCUGGGCGGGGCGUGAGGUGCCUGACGCAGGAGUGUGGCACCGGUGGUUGUCGAUCCCCGCCGGGUGGUCGCCGCCGCCGCCGCCGCCGUCGUCUUGGUGGUGGUGGUGUUGAGUUCCGCAGGCAGCCGUCGCGGCGCACCGGGCCUAGUGGUCGGGUAUGCCCCCAGGCGAGCAGUGUGCGUUGGAGCAGUGUCUGUGGGAGGCCCGUGUGUUGCAGACGUGUGCAUGGCCAGGUUGUGAGACACUGGCAUGCCGCCUCCAGGCAACUCUAUCCGUACAUUAACUCCUACACUCCACCCUCCUCUGUCCUUCCCUCCCGGCGCCUCGCUGCGAGCCACACGUUGCUCUCUCUCCCGCGCACCGUUACCUUCCUUCCUUACUUGGUUUAUUAACGCAUCUCCGUUACCCAGUGACUCGCCUAUGUAUAAACUGUUUGCUUAUGUAGCCUAGUUUUUUUUUUUUUUUUGCCUACGUGGCCCAGACAGCGACAGUUUUCUCGCGUAUACAAAAAAUAUAUAUAUGAUAUAUAAAAUUAGAUAAGAAAAUUUGCCAGUGUUUUGUUUCACUCGAAAGUUUUCUUUUUUUCGCGAGUGUGAAGGAAGUGAAGGAGUGGUAGAGCCGCCAGAAGCAACGCCCAGACACCUAACUUGCCCACCUGAGGAGUCACCAUACCUGAUUCUUGCAAGCACCAUAGCCUCCCUUCAAGCCAGAAGCCGUUACACUUCAUUUCUCAGUCUCAAAGACCCACAGAGUGGUCUUGUAGUCCCCAGGAGCUGCCAAAAAAGAACGCGAGGGUCCUGUAGAGGUGCUACAGCUACCACAGACCCAGAAGACGCUGGAAUUAACUUUUUCAGCUGAGGAUAGAGAGGGUCACCCUAGCAAGCACUGGCCCGCGAGCGGAUGUCUGGAGUCAAGCAGGUUCUCCGCCACAGUGCUGCUGCUGCUGCUGCUGCUGCCACUCCUGCUGCUGCUGCUGCCGCUACUACCUCUAUUACUUCUCAUUCUACUGCUGCUGCUUCCUCUAUCAGUGACCUCGUCGCGCAGAGGCUACUCUCGACUGCCCAAUCUACUCGCCAUUUUCAGUCUGCUGAAGAUAUGACAGAAAGGAUACGAGAGAACAGGGAACAUGGACAGGCAGCAGAGGUGUCUAGACGACACAUGGAACAUGGGCAGGCAGCACAGGUGUCUAGAUGACACAAGGAACAUGCACAAGUAGCAGAGGUGUCUAUACGACACAGGGAACGUGGACGUAGGCAGAAUUAUUGGGGAAGCGUUAAUCCUGUAGGAGUCAUGCAGUGGCUGGGGAAUAACAGGCAAUGAGCCUUGAUUCGAGGGAUGGGAGAGUGAAAUUUUUCUCGUUGUGUCAAUAAGUAAUAUUAAAUUUUUAUUGUUUAUGAGGAGACCUAAAUCGUAUUUAGCACUCUUUAUAUGUGUUAUGUUAUGUAGAUUUAACCUAGAAUGACUCAGGAAAGUAUAAAAAAUAAUUGACUUUAUUUCCAAUGAUGUAGUUUCCUUCCUGCUGGAGGAAGUUUGACCUCGGCGCUUCUGCGAAUUUCCUUGGCUGUGAGUGAGACGGGAAUCCUGGAAUGUCUCAGCGCCAGUAAUGACAACUCUGGGAGAUGUGCUGACAAGAGUAUAAAUCUGGGAGAUGCCCUGGCAAUAGCAGAAAACUGGGAGAUGGGCUGGUAACAGCAGAAAUCUGGGAGAUGCGUUGGCAAGAGUAGAAUUCUGGGAGAUGCGCUGGCAACAGCAAAAAUCUGGGAGAUGCGCUGGCAACAGCAAAAAUCUGGGAGAUGCGCUGGUAACAGCAGAAAUCUAGGAGAUGCGCUGGUAACAGCAGAAAUCUGGGAGAUGCGCAGGUAACAGCAAAAAUCUGGGAGAUGCGCUGGUAACAGCAGAAAUCUGGGAGGGAGCGGUAGUUAUAGUUAGGAAAGUUGCAGAUGCGGUUGAAUGCAGACAAAUGUAAGGUUCUAAUCCGAGGAAAAGAAAAUAGCCUAAAUAAUGUAGAUCUUAGUCAAAUUGAGUGCGAAAAAAAUAGGAGUUUUGUUUAGUAGUAAUCUAAUGCCAAGACAACAGUGCGUAAGUGUUCACAAUAAAGCUAAUAGAAUUCUUAGUUUCUUAUCAAGACAGAUAAUAGAAGUCCUCAGGUCAUACUUCAACUUUAUAUAUCUUUGGUAAGCUCUAUUUAGAUCAUGCUACUCAGUUCUGGUCUCCCUAUUAUAGGAUGGACAUUACACUAGAUGUACAGAGAAGGAUGACGAAGUUGAUCCCAUGUAUCAGAAUCCUUUCCUACGAGGAUAGACUGAAUUCACUAACUUGCACUCUCUGGAAAGACGUGGAAUUUGGGGAUAUGAAAAGUGCACAAAUAAAUAAAGGGGAUAUAAAUAUGGUGCUAAAAAUGUCUAGCCAAGACAGGACUCGCAACACUGAUUUCAAAUUGGAGAAAUUUAGAUUUAGAAAGGCUAUAGGGAACUACUGGUUUGGUAAUCGAGUUGUGGAUGAGUGGAACAAACCCCCAGGUAGUGUCAUUGAAGCGGAUAGCUUUAAACAUAGAUUGGACGUGUAUAUGAGUGGGUGAGAGUUAAACCUGCCUAGCUUUUAGCCAGUAGGCCUACUGCAGUGUUCCUUCAUUCUUGUGUAACUAAAGAAAUAUGUGGAAGGAUCUCUGGUAACAACAGAAAUCUAGAAGGUUAAGUGGUAACAGCAGUAGUCUAGGAGCAGUGGUAAUACUUGUAGUCUAGGAGCAGUGGUAAUACUUGUAGUCUAGGAGGAGCAGUGGUAACAGCAGUAGUCUAGGGUGGUAACAGCAGUGGUCUAAGAAGAGCUGUGAUAAAAGCAGGGGAAAAAACUAAAUUCUGCUGGUAUGCUGCCACUGGAUAGAUGCUUGCUUCUUCACUGUCACAGUAUUUAAACUUGACUGUCUCCUCUCUCCUCGCCUCUGCUAUCUUAUCCCGUCUCUCUGAACAUUUAUAUAUGCCACGUGAACUCUUAAACCACCAUAAAUAAUGAUAAGGUCACUAAAAAGUAUUUUACACAUCGGAGACAACCUGUGUCCCCCCAACUCUUGUCUGUGGCAGUGACGUCACAAGCCUAAAUAUAAACAUUAGAAUCCAUAUUUAACACGAGGCUCUAUUAAUUUUAACCAGGAUGACAUAAUACAUUAAUAAUUGGGCUUAAGGCGCUUUAUUUUAUGGAAUUGUAUUGAUUAGAAAAUAUAUUGAUAACAAGGAUAAUGAUAAUCCAAAUAAUUAUUAAAGAGAAAAUAAAGGAAGUGAAUGCGAAUUAUGAUUAUAGGGUAACUUGAAUUAAUAAUAAUGUUAAUAAUGUUGUCAUUACUAAAUUUAUUACAAGAUCACUAACAAUAUUUACCAUUAAUAAUUUUUUUAAUCAACAAUUGGUAGGCUUCAUUGUGUGGCUGCCCUGACUUGUAUGACAUUAUUAUACAAGGUUAGAGCAAGAGUGAACUAUGCUUGCCUUACACACCAAUGUACUACCUGGUCUUCACACAAUGAUUUUGCUGAUUUAGUUCAACUUGAAUAAUUACAGGUCUGAGGUUGUUUAUAUAGCGUGUCACUAUCACACAGGAUGGUAUUUUAAGUUCAUCAUGAAUCAUUGUAGCAGGUGUAUUAUAUUCAUUACAAAUGAUGAGUGUACGGCAGGGGAUUACAAUAUAAAUUUCGAACUAUUGAAUGGGUAAUUAAUUAUUUCAUACAAGUUUAUUUUGGAUUCACAUCUAAUCCUCAAUUCUAAAAGGAAAGUUUUUAGAUACUAAGCCAGUGGUUCCGAAACUUUUUUUUCAGGCUGCCGCCCCUUUGUCUCCCAGGACACAUCCCUAGCGCCCCUCCUCCCCACACAUACAAAUACACCUCUUUCUUGGUAUUAGGUUUACUGCAAAUUCAAAACAACUAAUCUAACGCUAUAAACAAACGUAUUUAUUUCACAAAUAAAAAUUAACAUAGUAAACCAAUUUAUUUAACAUGAUUUAUAUUGUGCCAUAUAGAUUUUGUAAAACAAACGCUAAUUAUACACAUCUCCAGAGAAUGUAAGUUCGGUGCCUUCUGCCUGUCUUUCUUUGUAGAAAAAGUUUUCUGAUAUAUGGGAUUAACUUCAUCAUUCUGUGUUUUCCAGCACAUUUAUGUACAUUCUGUAAUAUGUGGACCAGAACUGAACAGCAUGAUCUAAAUGAGGCCUUACUAAGGAUAUAUGAAAAUGAAGUGUAACCCAGGGGCGUAUCACCCAGGAGGGGAUGCUAAAGCGAAGCUAGUUAGAACCCCAGGACUAACCUCUCUCCCCCUAGGGAUAAAAUACCUCUAGGAUAAAAGCCCCCAGUAAAAGUGCAAAAUAUGGUAAAAAAAAAAUCACUUUUUUAGCUGGUUAUUAGUUUGGUUAGCUUUGGUAUGUUUGGUUAGGCUAGGAAAUACUGAUUCUUGAGUAUUGUGGACGAGUGGAGCAAACUGAGAAGUAGAGUCAUUGAAGACAACAGCUUAGGUAGCCUUAGGUGCCUUCUGAGUAUCUUGUGUGUCGCAAUUAUGUCUACCCUGGUCCUUUUUUUGCGCUUCUAACGUCAUAUGGAUCAUUUUCCUUUAGUCUCUAGUUAUAGACAUUUUUUCUCUGUACCGGGACAAAUCUUGUUGCGAGGCUCUACACUUUCUCCAGUUUCUUGAUAUGCCUUGUUAGCUGUGAGCUUCACGAUGGUGCUGCAUACUCCAAAGUAAGCCUGAUGGCGAGUCAUUCUUUGUUGAGGCUCCGGAGAGCUGUUACUUAAUUUGUUAAAAGUGCAUCUGCCUCAGAAGUUAGUCAGUUUGAUGUUUUCCUCUGGUGAUAGGUUUGGGACUAUGCUCACUCCUAUGUCCUUCACAUUGAGUAAAGGUUGCAACUCCUGCCCCCAGUCUGUACUCUGUUUUCAGUCUUCUUUCCCCUUCCUCAGUUUUCAUAGCUUUGCUGUUUCUGAGGUUGAAUUCCAGUAGCCACUUGUUUGAACCCUACUGGGUUCUGCCUCUACUGCUUUGAUCCACAUGAACACCUCUGCUGUGAUUCCUCUUUUCAUUUCUAGUUUUUGGUCCAAUCUCUAGUGCAGUACAGCAUCGAAUGUCUUCUUGCAACCCUGGAAUAUACAGUCCCUCUUAUUCCUAUUUAUUUCUGUUAAUCUGUGAUAGAAGUCCAGCUGGUCUGUGAGACAGUUUGCCAUCUCUGAAGCCUGUGUUUAGGAAGCUGCUCUUCUGGUGCUCCGCUUUUCUAUACAACACAAUACAACUUUAUUUCUGUUUUGCAGUAUACAAAAUGUAGUUUACAUGUAAUAAAAUAUUGUUAAGCACAUGAUUUUUGUCCCAUUUCAUUACAUUAUAUACGUGUCAAGGUUUCUUGGCUUGCCUGUAGUUUAAGGCUGCCUCCCUGUCUCUUAAAUGUUUGGACUACAUUUGUUGUCUUUCGUACCUCCGGCAGUUGCCCUGUUUACACUGACUUGUAUAUUAUAGCUAGCAGUUGAUGAUACAGAAAUUUGCAGUCAGGUUUCAACAGUCUUGCGGUGGGCAGUAGAAAAUUAGUGUUCAGUGGUGAUGAAUUUCAACUACUCAGAUAUGUAAAGAAUGGAGAACUCCAAACUUUGAGUCAAAAUGAGCAUAGAAAAAAAAAAAACGAGGACCAUCUCACAGGACGAAAGCAAUGCCAUUGCUGACACUGAUCAAAUCACUUGUGUACCACUGUUUAGCAUAUUAUUUGGUGUUGACGGCUCCUUCCAAGGCAGGAAAUGUAUCAGAGCUGGGAAAGGUAGAGAGGUCGUUUACUGCUGCACACAGCCAGCAAAUCAUUUAAGUUACCAACGAACCACAGCAGGGCUGUGGUUUGUACGUCGGUUUACGUUCGGCCAACAGUAACAGCCUGGUUAAUCAGGCCCUGAUCCAUCACCAGGCCAUGUCACGGACCGGGCCGCGGGGGCAUUGACCCCUAAACCCCCUCCAGGUAUCACCAUGUACAUGGAAAAAUUUAAAAGCACAUGCAGUAUA